GACGUAGGGGCCAGCGUUGCUCGGAAUUACUGGGUGUAAAGGGUUCGUAGGCGGUGUGGCAAGUCGGGAGUGAAAUCUCUGGGCUCAACCCAGAGUCUGCUUCCGAAACUGCUGUGCUUGAGUGUGGGAGAGGCGCGUGGAAUUGCAGGUGUAGCGGUGAAAUGCGUAGAUAUCUGCAGGAACACCCGUGGCGAAAGCGGCGCGCUGGACCACUACUGACGCUGAGGAACGAAGCUAGGGAGCAAACAG
rnacentral:rRNA from 1 species